GUCGGGCGGGCGGCUACGGCGGAGGCCAGGCCACCGUCGAUGAGCGUUGCAGGGGCGCUCGGAGCCCAGGCCCUAGGCCGUGCUUCCGAGGGACUCGUGGGGAAGAUGUGGGGUUGCUCCUAAGACCCUCAGUCUCGGAAACGCGGAGGGUGACGUGGCGGGACGCUGCGGGUUCCCACCUCCGGGCUGGCAGUGACGACCAUGCGGACGGUCACACAAAGUAGAGAGGACCGUCACAGCUCUCCUAAAAGCUGCUGUGAACGCAUUUCAGAAGCAUGGACCAGCUUGGUCUUGGGGAGUUGAACUUGGUUCCUUCGGCUUUGCAAGCAAGCGCCUUAACUGGAAGUCAAGCGAUUGAGUCUCAGGCUGUGUUUGAGCUCAUGUGCUGAUUUGGAGACUGUUGCCUAACAUCUGGACUUUGAGGCCUUCAACGUUCAUGAGAUGAGGAAGUGGAUCCUGAGAAGGUGACUUGGCCAGGAUGACACCUAGGAGCCAGUUUGAAGCCUUACUUGCCUCCCUUUCUACCAGGAAUGAGCAGUUCCUGGUUCUUGGACACAUGCUGGUGUCUUAAGGACCUUUGUUGCACGUCUGACAGAAUUCCAUCCUCUGCCUCCAGAUUUGGGCCAUGUUCUUUACUUCCUGAAUGAAUAAGGAAACCAGUUAAGCCUCAGACCUUUCUGACAACCAAAAUUUUUUGUUUUUGAGGUAGCGUCUCACUCUAGCUCAGACUGACUGGAAUUCACUCUGUAGGCUCAGGGUGGCCUUGAACUCACAGCGAUCCUCCUACCUCUGCCUCCCAAGUGCUGGGAUUAAAGGCGUGCACCACCACACCCGGCUCCAAUUUUUUUUUUUAAAGGAUAUGUGGGCUGCUCAGGGUGGAGCAUGCCUUAAUUUCUGUACUCAAGAUGAUCGUGAAUUCUCAUCUAAGUGAUUUCCAGGCCAUCCUGGUCAGCAGGAGGCCUUUGUCAAUCAAUAAAGCCCCUUGACUGUGGUGAGCUCAGUCCAGGAUAA